AGCAGAGUGGCUUAGUGGAAAGAGCACUGGCCCGUGAGUCAGAGGACCUAGGUUCUAAUUCUAGCUCUGCCA
rnacentral:tRNA from 1 species